AGUUAAUGAACUUGAACAAGUAUAUAUCUUGAAAAUAUAUUAUAGAAAUCUAAAUUUUCUAUUAACUU
rnacentral:tRNA from 1 species